GUGUUCGGAUUGCGGCGACGUGAGCGGUUCGCCGCCCGCGACGUCGCAAGAAGUCCACUGAACCUUAUCAUUUAGAGGAAGGAGAAGUCGUAACAAGGUUUCCGUAGGUGAACCUGCGGAAGGAUCAUUGUCGAAUCCUGCAAACCACCGCGAACACGUUUAAAAACCUGCGGGCUGCGGUCGGACUACCGUCUGCCGGCGCCCGCACCUAACAAACUUCCGGCGCGGUAUGCGCCAAGGACUACUCAAAACGGAUCGUCCGCAUCCCCCUACGGAUUCCGCAGGGCGGGUGCCGGUCGUCUGAAUCGUAACCAAUACGACUCUCGGCAACGGAUAUCUAGGCUCUCGCAUCGAUGAAGAACGUAGCGAAAUGCGAUACUUGGUGUGAAUUGCAGAAUCCCGUGAACCAUCGAGUUUUUGAACGCAAGUUGCGCCCGAAGCCAUUAGGCUGAGGGCACGUCUGCCUGGGCGUCACGCACCGUCGCCACCCCCCCUCACCGCGUGCUAACGCGUCGAGGCGGAUGGCGGAUGUUGGCCUCCCGUGUCCACCCGGGCGCGGCCGGCCUAAAUCCGAGUCCCCCGUUCGGGACGUCACGACAAGUGGUGGUUGAAAACUUCAACUCGAUCGUAGCCGUGACCGAGACCGUGCGGGAGACCCCAUAGACCCUGGAGCCUCCGGGCCCUCGACCAUGACCC
rnacentral:misc_RNA from 1 species